CCUACGGGUGGCAGCCGUGAGGCAUAUUGGUCAAUGGACGAGAGUCUGAACCAGCCAAGUAGCGUGAAGGAUGACUGCCCGAUGGGUUGUAAACUGCUUUUAUAUGGGAAUAAAACGUUCCACGUGUGGGAUUUUGUAUGUACCAUAUGAAUAAGGAUCGGAUAACUCCGUGCCAGCAGCCGCGGUAAUACGGAGGAUCUGAGCGUUAUCCGGAUUUAUUGGGUGUAAAUGGAGCGUAGGUGGAUUGUUAAGUCAGUUGUGAAAGUUUGCGGCUCAACCGUAAAAUUGCAGUUGAAACUGGCAGUCUUGAGUACAGUAGAGGUGGGCGGAAUUCGUGGUGUAGCGUUGAAAUGCUUAGAUAUCACGAAGAACUCCGAUUGCGAAGGCAGUUCACUGGACUGCAACUGACACUGAGGCUCGAAAGUGUGGGUAUCAAACAGGAUUAGAUACCCCUGUAGUC
rnacentral:rRNA from 1 species